AGAAACUUAGGAUAAUCUAAACCGAAGGCCUUCAAAGCCUUAAACAAGAGUUGAACCCUCUUAGUUUCUG
rnacentral:tRNA from 1 species